UCUGUAGGGUUAGCUAGUCUUGCUGUCUCUGACUGUGGCUUUUCUGUCCUGCAAGCCUCUGUGUCAGUACUCCUAGAAGACCAGUUCUUUCUGGGAAGAAUUUAGGUAUGGAGAGCUGUGGUACAAGGUCAGUUCUGGGGUGCAGAGAGAAACCAGAAGGCUCCUUCCCAGGCUGCUCCUCCAGUUCCUGUGUCCUCAGAGUUCCAGGAGGGUCCCUCUGAGCAGCAGUGGUGGUUUUACCUGUGCUCACAGGCUUGUCAGCACUCCUGGGAGGCCAGCUGUCUCUCAGCACUAUUUGGGUCUGGAG
rnacentral:lncRNA from 1 species